rnacentral:rRNA from 1 species
UAGGGAAUCUUCGGCAAUGGACGAAAGUCUGACCGAGCAACGCCGCGUGAGUGAAGAAGGUUUUCGGAUCGUAAAACUCUGUUGUUAGAGAAGAACAAGGACGUUAGUAACUGAACGUCCCCUGACGGUAUCUAACCAGAAAGCCACGGCUAACUACGUGCCAGCAGCCGCGGUAAUACGUAGGUGGCAAGCGUUGUCCGGAUUUAUUGGGCGUAAAGCGAGCGCAGGCGGUUUCUUAAGUCUGAUGUGAAAGCCCCCGGCUCAACCGGGGAGGGUCAUUGGAACCUGGGAGACUUGAGUGCAGAAGAGGCGAGUGGAAUUCCAUGUGUAGCGGUGAAAUGCGUAGAUAUAUGGAGGAACACCAGUGGCGAAGGCGGCUCUCUGGUCUGUAACUGACGCUGAGGCUCGAAAGCGUGGGGAGCAAACAGG